AGAAAAACGUUGAUGGAAACAAGUAAUUUUUACCCAGCUGUACAGGGAAAUUUGCCAUAGACUGCAAGCAAAUUCAGUAUGAAAAAAUGAAAUUCACUUCCUAGUUAGCAUUUGAGAAAAUGCCGGUAGAUGACUGCCGUUAUGAAAGUAAGAGCGUGAGUUUCUCACGAAUUAGGAUGGUAUCGCGAGCCUUCGUUCCUUUA
rnacentral:ncRNA from 1 species